AGAAAGAGUGAAGCAGAACUGCAAAAGGCUCUAUAGGAGAGCAAGAAAAGGAAGAAAGAAAAAGGGAAAGCUAAAAUGGUUAAAAGUUUUGAGGAUGAUGUUGAAGAAGAGGAGGAAGAGAUGGAACUGAUUCAUCAAAAGCGGAGUACUACUGUGGAAGUUCCCACUGCCAAAUGAAAGGGAACCAGGUCUUCUGUCAAGAAGCCCUCCAAAUCUGUACGUGAUGACGCCUCUCUAACCAAGAGAGCUAGAUCAGCUGGAAAAGGUAAAUAAGUGAAGAUAACUGAAAAAGAGGAUGAUGAGUGGAGUGAAGAAGAAGGAGAAGAUGAGUAUCAACAAGAACAAGAUAUAUUUUUCAUGUUUGGCAAAAGAAAAAUUCUGAAGGGAU
rnacentral:lncRNA from 1 species